rnacentral:lncRNA from 1 species
CAGGUCUGGGCAAGAGUAAUGAUGCUUCUGCAGUCAGAUAUAGGAGACAGCAUGCCUCAGUUGUGCCCUACACCAAGAUACAAUAAACACAGUGUGGUGCAGCUUUAAUUUUAAUUCAAAAUAAAUAUUUCCAUAACCUACAAAAUUCCUCUAAUACACUUAUCUGGAAGAACACAAAGAUUAAAGAAAUCCUGCUAAUUCCUUUAUCUUUCAUAUACAGGGCUGAAAACAAAGACAUUCAAACCUUGAGCCAUUUAGAAGAGGAAGAAGCCAAAAUCUGUGCCAGAGGUUUGACUACUGGGAUACUCAUGGCUUCAGCACUGAUCUCUGCAAGAUUUUCCCUCAUUCCACUGAUACUCCUGGAUCAUCAAGUUUUCUCUGUCAGCUCAAAUGUUUUACUUUGGUUUCUCAUCUACUUCAAUCUGGCCUCCAGAAGCUCUGUUGCUUCAUCCUCAUCUCCUGGACAGGGAGGAAGCUUACUGCUGUGGGGAGACUGGCCUCCAAGCUAUCUGUGUCCAACCCAGCCUGCUGUUCCUAUCGUGGAGAGAGAGAUGGGCUCAGAGGAUGGGCUGCUUUCCCCUCCUUCCUGAAAGAGGCUUCCAGGCAUAACAGGAAAUAGUGUCCUUUCAGUUUUGCAUCUUCAAGAAGUCUGGCAUGGGAAUAACUGAACAAGGGAUCCCAG